rnacentral:rRNA from 1 species
GACGAACGCUGGCGGCGUGCUUAACACAUGCAAGUCGAGCGGUAAGGCCCUUUCGGGGGUACGACGAGCGGCGAACGGGUGAGUAACACGUGGGUGACCUGCCCUCAGCUCUGGGAUAAGCCGUGGGAAACCGGGUACUAAUACUGGAUAUGACUCCAUGACGCAUGUUGGUGGGGUGGAAAGCCUUGUGCGGCUGAGGAUGGGCCCGCGGCCU